rfam:Tessaracoccus bendigoensis DSM 12906 genome assembly, contig: EK12DRAFT_scaffold00003.3
UGUGAACUCCACCCGGUGAUACCCGGCCGGCCCGGCCCUGACUUCACUUCCCCGAUGUCAGGUCCGAUCCGGAAGGGAAUCUCCGGGUGACAAGCGGUGAUA